UAACUGCGAGUGAAGCGGGAAAAGCUCAAAUUUAAAAUCUGGCGGUCCUUGGCCGUCCGAGUUGUAAUUUAGAGAAGCGUCUUCCGCGUCGGACCGUGCACAAGUCUCCUGGAAUGGAGCGUCGUAGAGGGUGAGAAUCCCGUCUUUGGCACGGACUCCCGGUGCUUCUGUGAUGCGCUCUCAAAGAGUCGAGUUGUUUGGGAAUGCAGCUCAAAAUGGGUGGUGAACUCCAUCUAAAGCUAAAUAUUGGCGAGAGACCGAUAGCGAACAAGUACCGUGAGGGAAAGAUGAAAAGCACUUUGGAAAGAGAGUGAAACAGUACGUGAAAUUGUUGAAAGGGAAACGCUUGAAGUCAGUCGCGUCGGACGAGACUCAGCCUUGCCUCGGCUUGGUGUACUUCUCGGCUCGACGGGUCAGCGUCGAUUUCGCUCCUCGGAUAAUGGCAAGGGAAAGGUGGCACCUUUGCGGGUGUGUUAUAGUCUCGUGUCGCAUGCGAGGGGUGGGAUUGAGGAACUCAGCGCGCGCCUUUGGUGUCGGGGCUUUGGCCCACGUAACGCGCUUAGGAUGCUGGCGUAAUGGCUUUAAACGACCCGUCUUGAAACACGGACCAAGGAGUCCAACAUGCCCGCGAGUGUUCGGGUGGAAAACCCGUGCGCGUAAUAAAAGUGAAAGUUGGGACCUCUGUCGUGGAGGGCACCGACGCCCGGACCAGACCUUCUGUGACGGAUCUGCGGUAGAGCGUGUAUGUUGGGACCCGAAAGAUGGUGAACUAUGCCUGAAUAGGGUGAAGCCAGAGGAAACUCUGGUGGAGGCUCGUAGCGAUUCUGACGUGCAAAUCGAUCGUCAAAUUUGGGUAUA
rnacentral:rRNA from 1 species